GUUAAACAUAAAGAGCGUAGGGUGGAUGCCUAGGCACUGACAGCCGAAGAAAGACGUGACAAGCUGCGAAAAGCUGCGGGGAGAAGCACAUAUUCAGUGAUCCGCAGAUGUCUGAAUGGGGAAACCCGCUUGGAUAAACUCCAAGCAUCUGUACGCCAAUACAUAACGUACAGAAGGGAACCCGGUGAACUGAAACAUCUAAGUAGCCGGAGGAAAAGAAAACAAAAGUGAUUGCGAAAGUAGCGGCGAGCGAAAUCGUAAAAGCCCAAACCGCGGUGCGUGCACUGCGGGGUAGAGGACUGCAAUACGAGUAAGAUAUAUUACCUGAACCGUUUUGGAAAAGCGGGCCAAAGAGCGUGAGAGCCGUGUAAGGGAAAAUAUAUUGAAUCAAGCAGUAUCCGGAGUACCACGAGACACGAGAAACCUUGUGGGAAGCAGGGGGGACCACCCCCCAAGGCUAAAUACUUGUCAGUGACCGAUAGCGUAUAGUACUGUGAAGGAAAGGUGAAAAGAACCCCGGGAGGGGAGUGAAAAAGAACCUGAAACCCUAUGUUUACAAACUGUGGAACACCGAAAGGUGAACCGCGUACUUUUUGUAGAACGGUCCGGCGAGUUACAUGUACAGGCAAGGUUAAGUAUUAAAGAUACGGAGCCGAAGGGAAACCAAGUCUUAACAGGGCGAGAUAAGUCAGUAUGUGUAGACCCGAAACCGGGUGAUCUAUCCAUGUCCAGGUUGAAGUUCGCGUAAAAGUGAAUGGAGGACCGAACGCACAUCCGUUGAAAAGGGUGGCGAUGAGGUGUGGAUAGGGGAGAAAUUCCAAUCGAACCCGGAGAUAGCUGGUUCUCCUCGAAAUAGUUUUAGGACUAGCCUCGUUAUUAGUCUACCGGAGGUAGAGCACUGAAUUUUUGCGGGGGCGUCAAAGCCUACCAAGAGAUAUCAAACUCCGAAUGCCGGCUAGAUGAUUAACGGGAGUCAGACUGCACGAGAUAAGUUGGGUAGUCAAAAGGGAAAGAGCCCGGACCCGCGGCUAAGGUCCCAAAGUGUGUGUUAAGUGGAAAAGGAUGUGGGAUUUCAAAGACAGCUAGGAUGUUGGCUUAGAAGCAGCCAUACAUUAAAAGAGUGCGUAACAGCUCACUAGUCGAGAGGUCCUGCGCCGAAAAUGUCCGGGGCUAAACACAACACCGAAGCCCGGGAAUGUAUUAUAUACAUUGGUAGAGGAGCAUUCUUAUAAGCGUAGAAGCCAUACCGAAAGGAGUGGUGGAGUAAUAAGAAGAGAGAAUGCCGGAAUGAGUAGCGAGAAAGAGGUGAGAAUCCUCUUGGCCGAAUAUCUAAGGUUUCCUGAGUAAAGCUGAUCUGCUCAGGGUAAGUCGGGGCCUAAGGCAAGGGAGAAAUCCGUAGUCGAUGGAUAACAGGUACAGAUUCCUGUACUACAUAUAAUCAGAACUGUGGGGACACGGAGACUGAAAACCGAACCCGGGAGGACAAAAACCGGGGCAAGCGAAGUACCUGUAUGGGAGGCAAAUCCACCAUACAAAGGGAAGACGUGAUGCGUACCGAAAAAUAGUAGGGAAGUCGGUUAGGGAGCCGUCAAGAAAAGCCGCUAUUGUAUUAUAUGUACCCGUACCGCAAACCGACACAGGUAGAUGAGGAGAGAAUCCUAAGGCCGGCGGGAGAAGCAUUGUUAAGGAACUCGGCAAAAUGACCCCGUAACUUCGGGAGAAGGGGUGCCACUAGCAAUAGUGGUCGCAGAAAAAAGGCUCAAGCAACUGUUUAGCAAAAACACAGGUCUAUGCGAAACCGUAAGGUGAAGUAUAUGGGCUGACGCCUGCCCGGUGCCGGAAGGUUAAGAGGAGAAGUCAGGAAACGAAGCUUUGAAUUGAAGCCCCGGUAAACGGCGGCCGUAACUAUAACGGUCCUAAGGUAGCGAAAUUCCUUGUCGGGU
rnacentral:rRNA from 1 species